rnacentral:rRNA from 1 species
AACGAACGCUGGCGGCGCGCCUAAUACAUGCAAGUCGAGCGAGAAGACGUAGCAAUACGUUUGUAAAGCGGCAAACGGGUGAGGAAUACAUGGGUAACCUACCCUCGAGUGGGGAAUAACUAGCCGAAAGGUUAGCUAAUACCGCGUACGCUCCUUGGACUUCGGUUCAGGGAGGAAAGCGAUACCGUGGGUAUCGCGCUCUUGGAUGGGCUCAUGUCCUAUCAGCUUGUUGGUGAGGAACGGCUCACCAAGGCUUCGACGGGUAGCUGGUCUGAGAGGACGAUCAGCCACACUGGCACUGCGACACGGGCCAGACUCCUACGGGAGGCAGCAGUAAGGAAUAUUGCGCAAUGGGCGAAAGCCUGACGCAGCGACGCCGCGUGGGGGA